AUCAUUAAGGAGCUUUAGAUGAAUAAACACUCAUCAAGGCUAAAAUUAGUGGUUGUGUGUGAAUACAGAGUUGUAAACUAUCAGAACAAAUGGUUGUUAAUUAACAUAUGAUUUUCCUCCCAGCUUCAUCAAGUCUCUUCAGCUUCAUCAGGUCUCUAAUUCAAAGUCCUCAACACCAGGUGGAUUGAAAAGUAAUUUAUUCAAAUUAAAUAAUAAUUUUGAGGAUCUAAAGGCUUAUACCAGACCUUGUCGCAUCACAUGAUGGCUAUAAAUAUUCAUCAUGAUAAGAUCAUGCAUAAACAAAAAGAUGAUGCAAGAGGACUGACCACACUGCCUAGGAAAUCUUUUCUACUUGUCUAGACCACUUCAUAAAAUCUUAAUCAACAGAAUGAACUGAGACACAUUCACCUAUAACAGCAGACAGAAAUAUUACAAAACAGAAAUAUUAGUCUACAACAUGCUUAGACAUUUCACCAGGGGCUAUAUAAUGGGCACAUGACAAUCAGAGGAGCAAAAAUCAUGCUGGUUUUGCUGUAUGUUUAAUUGAAGAUUGGUAAAGCCAUAAGACUGAAAGUCUAUGGGAAAAAUUAUGCUGUGAAUGUCAUUUAAGGCUUGGUAUGAGUUUAAUCCUACAUGGCUAGGCUGUUUGUCUAAGCAGGAAUAAUCAUGGGAGUACACUCAGGACAUGCUAGUUCAUACUAGUUCUUCAUAACAACUAAACCUUAUUGGAUGCUGUAUGCAAAUACUGCUUGAGAUCACAGGCUUAAUUUAUUACCAAAAUGCAUAUUAGUUGACCACAUCAUCAAAGUAUUCAGAUGAUAUGAUGUGUUUAGGUUACCAACAAGAUCAGUUUCUAAACAAAAAAGACAAUAAGGAAUUCAAGGGUAUAGAUUAUAUAUUACUAGUUCAAAAUUAUAUUUGUUUUGAGUAAAGUAAUCACCAUAAAUAAAGAAUUUUAGAAGCAAAGCAUUCAGCAAAGCAAAGCAUCUUAAGACUCAUGAAACCCAGAAUUCAACAAGCAUAGCCAUUGGCUCCUGUAGUGACCAAGUAAUCACUUGUGAUAAAAUGCAGUGUGGAAGCUCAGUCAUUGAAAAAAUGGACUACUAAAUAUUUUACAACUAACAACAGACAUGUAUUAGGUGCAUAAAAGAUGCUAAAGCUCAUGCUUCAUUCAGUGUCAUGACCCACGAAGAGUUAUAUUAGAUACGCGCAGUCUGAUUGGCCAAGAUUACAAUGAAUGCUUGGAUGAGUCAUCCCUUUUUUGUGCUUGAAUAAAAACAAGCAUAAACUGAUAGAACAAUAAAUCAAUCCCUUAGGGAAAAACUCUGCUGUGAAAUUUCCAACCAUUCAUAAGAACUAAUUCUACAAAAGAGAGCUUUAUUGACCUUGAGAAAGAGUGGCUUUUAUGUGGCUCAAAAGAAAGCUUGCUUUUUGUGAAUUGUUUGCUUCGGUUGAUUGGUUACACAGAAAUGAAUUUAGGAAUUCUGCAUGACAGUUUACAGAGUAGAACAAGUGCUGGCAAAUGCAUCAGUCAGAACAAGUGCUGGCAAAUGCAUCAGUCAGAACACUAAGCAAUAAUUUGAGCUGGGCUGAAAUUCAGGGCACUCCUCCAAGUUCCCAAUACAUUAUCUAAACAUAUUACUUGUCAUUGCCAUAGUGAUGUAAACAUUCAAAAAUAGAAUAACAAGUUGUAAUAUUAUAAAUUUGUACAAUGCAGCAUGGCAAUUGGGCAAGCAAAUAGAAUAAAUAUGGAGACUCUUGAAAAACAGAUCAUAGAGCUAACCUCAGUUGAGACGUCACUCACCAGGUAGGGUAUGUGAUGACGGGGCUGUACAACACUUGGCAUUCUCCCUGCAUUUGAAGAUUCUCCGGGGUCUGGGCUGCUAAAGAGAGAUUUCCAAAAAUUAUUCUCACAAAGGGCCCAAACCACAGCAUGACAGGCACAGAAUUCAAGAGAAAAAUGUAAACAGUGAUUGUCCACCCACAGAAACAGUAAAAAUCUUAGGGACUUUGAUACUUAGCAAAACUAGAAUGUCAAUAAACCUAGUGCAAUAACAUUAUUUUGCUCAUAACAAAAUAUAUAAAGUUGACAGCAACAUAGUAGUUUAGGUUAAGAAAGUGUUCAUUAUGCUUUUUAUUUUAUAUCAUUUUACCCAUGUGGUCCAAGAGAAAUGUUCUGUGCAUAUGUAACAAAGGGAAUGUGAAACAAUUAUAAAAGGCUGCAGCCUUAAGAUUGACCUCUAUUGGGCAAAAUUCCAAGUUGCAGACCUUGAUCUCAUACCAGUCAUUAUUUUGUCUAGUUGGAUGAAUUUGAUACACCCCAGUAAUUUAAGAUGCUUAAACUAGGAAACAUGAAGCAAAAUCAAGCCAAAACAGAAAGAAGACAAAAGAAUGAAUAAUGUCAUCCUUCAAUACAAUCUCUAGUUACUAUGGGAAAAUAUAUAUAUAUUUGUACUUAUGGUAGAGCUGAUUUCAACAGGGGUUAUCCACAGAUCUGAACUUUGCACCAAGCAACAUUUCUUACUGGAUCACUAAUUCAAAUUUCUUACAUAGACUCACUCACUCAAAUGUACUGAGCCAAGAGAGCAAAAAUGAAUAAUGGAAAGCUAGCUACACAUUAUAUUGAGUGCAAAUAAUUUGUAAAUCAAAUCCUGCUUUUCAACAGCAAAUUGUAAACAAAAAAAGGAUGAAAGUAAAGGGUGAAAAAUUCAUUAUAAAAAAUCCAUGAAAUGACAUGCUUAAACAGUGCCAGACAUAAUUUUGUGGGAUAAUAAACAUUCUCUGGUGGCUUAAAUACAGAUUUCAAAGGGGAAGUGAGACAGGGGAGAUGUGAUGAAAAAAAGCUAUCAAACAGCUCUUUUUCAUUUACUAGAGCAAGAAAUACUAGCAAUUUUUCAAAGAUUAUAAGAAGUACAAAUAAACAGCCCAUACAGUAUUUUCUUAUCGAAAGUAACAAUGAUGGGAACAAACAAUGUUAAUAAAGGUUACAGAGGCUUCCACAUCUAUUUUGGUGAAAUGUGUUCCCUUAUUUAUCAGUAACAGAAUUCUGAGUGACACUUUUUUUCAAGUCAUAAAAACUGUUUUAUUUGGACUACGGUGUCUUCUUUAUAUAAGAUGUUUCUUGAUAAGGGCAGGAAUCGCUUGGAAGCAUACUUACUCCGUGCCUGCUGUCAUGAGUGAACAUUUGCCAAUAAAUGCAAUAUUUAGAAGGUACUAGAAAGGAUGGGGUCACUCAAGGGCAGACCAUAAUAGUCCCCCAUCAUAUCAGCUGCCACCAAAAUGGAUCCCCAGCACAAGCUUGCCACAAAACCUAGCGAGCAAAUAACAUGAACGUGGGUAAGUCAGAGCUAAAAUAACCCCAGGGAACAAGUAAUGGUUUACACGGCUUACGCAUACAGUGACAACAUAGAAAAUUACAGAAAUUCUAUAUGUGAAGGGCAAAGCAAGCUUGGAUGACAGAGAGUCGUUCAUAGAUGCUUAUGAGAUAUUUGAAUGCCAGAAAUGACCGAUUCGGUUCUUUUAAUGAUCAUGAAAGUUCACUAGUUGUAUUUUUUAAUGAGGAUCACUAGACUGCAUGGAAGUUCAAUCAUUCAUUGCUGCAAUCAGCCUGUAGAUAUGAAGACACAAGGCAUAUAUAUAUCCGUGGAUGUCACAUUAAAAAUUUAUUUUGAAAUAUUGGUAUUGUUUUGAAGAUGAAGGGAAUACCGGACUAUUCGUUUGCAGUGAAAGUGUUUGGUAAGGCAAAGUCUUUAAAUUACAUUUCUAAUUCAACCAUCAACCAGGUAGUUUGGGAGCUGAUAUUCUAAAUGCAAAACAUCGAAGUAAUUAAAAACAAGGUCUUUGUAAUGAGAAGAAAUAAUAACAGCUUCACAUAAAAUAAGCGGAGAAGGCAGGGUCGAAUUUCCCGUUGUCAUUGCCAAACGCGAUCAGUUCCGUGCCUUAAUUUAAGUUUCAAAGAUUAAAAUAAAAAAAAAUACUCGUGGAUAAAAGCUUGCGAUAAGCCUUGCGAAGAAGGAGAUCGAAAUGUGUUUUAAUCAGCACAUAGUCCUAGGCAACUAUCACAUGUGGAAACCAAAUAUAAGUGCAUUUCAACCAAUAACCUUGGCUAACCGAAAUCCCUAGUUAUGGUUGAAAUGCGAGUGAAAUAAGUUUGGUGGGCCUUCCAUGAUACCACACUGCGAAAUACAAGAAGCUUUCAUUUAUGAAAUCAUUGGGUUUUGCAUCGCGUACUUUACAAGUAAUAUCCGCAAGAAAUAGUAAACAACUGAGAUGUUUGUUGCUUCGAUCUCUCGUUUCCCGAUGUAUUCGAAAAUUCUUUCCGAUAACACAUUGUUAGAUUUCAAAAGGGACAAACCAAGCAGGAAUGUGUGCGCAAUUGAGGGUAACAAAAAUACAAGGGUUUUUUUAAUUCCACAGAGGAUUUGGUCUGGAACGAAAUGAAUACGACAGCGAUGAAUACCCAUCGCAAAAAUCAACAGCUUCGUUUCCAUCUCAAUAUUAACGAAGAGUUGGUUCGAGAUUGUAGUAAGUUUUAGGGUGUAACCAUCAAAAUUUUGCCAGUGUCAUAGAAGAUAUUAUUACCGAGGCAAAAACGAAAUGAGAGAGUUUUCGGGGGCUAAAGGGCAUGUCAUACGACAUGUGGCAGUAAUUGAAAACCCUAGUAGGGCUCUACAGAAAGCAUCUCACGAAUUUACUACCCAAACAUGAAUAUCAACGCGAUUUAAGAGCAGUUUCUCGAAUGGAGUCUCUUGUUAUUCGUGUUUUUUUUUCAAGAUUCAGUAUGUUUUUUUUUUCAACAUGCAAAGCUGUGGGCUGAUUCGCUUCCUGUUGUAUUCACACAACACAAUCACAAAGGAAACACACAAAAGCCUCGAAAGACCACGCUGCCGUGGCCAACACGUUCGCCAAACACUUCCCUUCUCCUAGAAUCAUUUAUUCAGCCUCAGAUCAUAGUUUUCGAAGAAGCGAAAGUACUUAUGGGGGGAACUGAGUUUCGAUAGCGAAACCACUCUCGCUAGCUGCCAUGUGCGAACUUUCCAUACAUUAAUGAUAGCGGACGAGAAACGCAGAGACAAACACGACAGAUGGCGACUAGAGAACCCUGAAAGCGACUAAUCACAACACUGCAAGACACUCGCCAUUAAUUCCGCAACUAUAACCCUAAAAGCCUCCUUUAAAAUGGACACGAUAAUCAUACCACUACAGCUUAAUUUCGCGACACAACCUCCGACAAAAAAACGCACGGUAUUCUUGAAUGUAGAUUUUUGGUGUAGAAUCGAUUGAUAACUUAAUUUGAACAAGGGAAUCAUCGACUAGAAGAGAAAUCAUUGCCUAUCUGGAUAGAACAAGGGACAAAUUACAAGCAGAAGAUUGGGGAGCUAUGUUAAUACGUAAGAGAAUAUAGUAUUUUGUGUCGAGAGGUUCGUUUUAAAGGCCCGCCCCAGCUACUGAGAUGAAUUCGUUCGUAAGACAGUUUAUCCGACAGCGUAGACCCCACCAAAUAAAAUAUACAUAACAAGGGAACUUCCCACGCUAAAAUUACGACAUUGUAUGUCAAGGCCGUAAAGAUCUGGCUAGAAAUCGAGUAAAUGUUCAAUCGUAUGGUAGUGGGGUGUCGGAUUUCACUUUGUGGAUCGACCAACUUUAUCAAAACAACAUGGCGAACGGACACAUGGGAAAUACGCUGGGAUAAAAUAGAAAGGCAGUAGAGUAAGAAACAAUCUUCAUAAUGAUAACAAUCACCACAGAAUAGAUUAAUACAAAAAUGUGCAAUAAAUCCAAUUUCUUUGACGGCUAAAAGCGAGGGAAAUAUUUUAAAAAACAAAGCGUUUCAACCAGAUAUGUGGCGAGAUGUCGAGUGCCAAGUACACGUUUUUUACGAUGUAGAAAAAGUUAAAAUAAAGAUUAAAUAAAA